AACACUGUUAACCUGCGGUACCUGCGGAAGGAUCAUUACCGAGUUUACAACUCCCAAACCCCUGUGAACAUACCUAUACGUUGCCUCGGCGGAUCAGCCCGCGCCCUGUAAAAAGGGACGGCCCGCCCGAGGACCCUAAACUCUGUUUUUAGUGGAACUUCUGAGUAAAACAAACAAAUAAAUCAAAACUUUUAGCAACGGAUCU
rnacentral:misc_RNA from 1 species